UGAAAGUUACUUGUGGAUAUAACUGAGCUUUGGUCAUUAUCUGUCCUUGGUACCUGGCACAUGGGAAUGCCCAGUGAAUAUUUGUUAAAUAUAUGAAUGAAUGGAUUCUCUGAGUGCCAAUCAAAUACCCUAAGUUCUAGACAAGGGAACACAAUGUCCUGUUUUAAAAAGCCUAAGAGUUCAUACAGUGUCCACUGGCCACUGCCGUUUUGCUUUCCCAGCCAAUGCAGUAGUGGCUACCAGUGGGUUUUUGGAGAACCCACCUUGACUGCUCAACAAAUCCAUAAAGUGUCCAAACAAGGAACCUAAAUUUACCUUAGAUCUGGCAAGAUGUGAGCCUAAGGUCACUCACCUACCUCCUUAGGCCUGAAUCAAUCCAAUGCUGUGAUUGCAAAAAUAUACAAAGCAGGACUCUAUCAAGGCAGAGGACAACAGGAGAGAUGCUUCAGAAAAUCAACAAGAUGCCUGUGUUUCUCACCAGAUGGAAGUAAAGAAAUAUGGUAAAAUUGAACUUCCUUGAAAGCAGAGACCAAUGUUUUCGUUGCCUUCCAAAUUUCCUACAACAUCAUCUGUAACAUACAAAUGACCUAAAUGAAGCAAAAGAUCAUUGAUAGUAAUACAGAAGACUAGGAUUUGUAGAAUUACAGAGUGCUUUCAUGUUCAUGAUAUCAUUAGGACGAUCUCCAAAGUAUAAAGCACUGUUGGAAAUGCAUUGUUGUCAUUGUUAACGUUGUUGUUGUUGUUGUUGUUGUUGUACCAUUCUUUGCAUUGUGAACCAAUAACAGAAACAUCAACAACACUUACGUACUAGGUCUAUUCCCAGUCCUGUUUCUGGCGAGUUGUAAAUAAUAAUUAUGCUUAUAAUGGAGAAUUACAUGUAAGACAAUAUGACUUUGAAAAUCCAGUAUCCAUCAUUGAAGAACAAUGGACAUCCACUGGUAGUAUUCAAAAAUAACAGAGGUUGAAGGUAUAUAAUUGUUUAUUUACUGCUCCAUUCAGCUACAUACAGCAAGGCUAAGUUCCAAAAGAAAACCUCUCAAUAGAUGAUCCCAUCUCACCUUUUAUUACAGCCCUUCUAUUUGUGAAAGUAUCAUUUUCGCUAGUUGGGAGAUUGUCCAAACAUCUCCAAGCACACUGCGAUUCGAGGCCACAGACCCAGAAGGCUUUGUGAUAUCCUAUCAGCAAUUGUUAAUAUACACUCAGUCCCCCAACCUCCAGAGAACAAAGAUUAAAACGGCCAUCUUUUAGACAGGGAUUACACUUUGUGGGAAUCCAUAGAAUAAAAGAUUUGGAAAGAAAAUGAAAACAUAAUUUGUGGACAAAGACAUACUGUUUUCCUUUAAAAAUUAGCUGAAAGUCAGUGUGUCAAUAAAGUCCUUGUGUUGUCUUCUAUCACAACCAAUAUCGCGCAGUGACCUGGCUUGAAGGUUUUCCGUGAAUUUUUAAGUGAGAACUUUAACAAACAGUUCUAAGAAUACCAGACACCCACAGUUACCACACUUCUAUAAAAUAAGUAAUAUAGGCCUUAGGUGGCGUAUUACUUCAUAUUUUUCUAGAAAAAUGUUAAGAAGUGAUUAUCAAGGACUUAAAGAUCAACACAAAGAACCACAUUAAAAAUUAUAAGAACCCCCAAAUGCCUGUGAAAAUUAACUUUAGAGGCACAUGUUUUAAUAAAAUUUAUUGUUAUAUGUGGUUACAAAAAUCAUUGUUUAAUAUAUAUAGCUUAGCCAUUUGAACUCAUCUCCAAUUUGGCAUUUAAAUUACUCUCCAAUUAGGUAAUCAUCCUGGUCACAUUUGGGAGGUGCCAGUUCUUGCCCUGUUCUCUGGGAAUUUCUGUUACUCCCCCAGGCUACAGAUGAUUAAUCCAGAGCAGGACACUUGACCCCAGCUGGGCCAACCAAAUUCUCUACUGGGUAUUUAGAGUGGGAAUCAAGGGAGCAUUUAUCAGACUCUGUAGAAGCCAAGACAUGUAACAUAUAGUCUCUUCCUGUUAUCUGAGAAGCAGAGAAACCCAUAAGGAGAGAGAGGAGAGGAGAGAGAGGAGAGGAAAGAAAGGAGAGAAAAAAUAAAGAGGAGGAGGAGGAAAAGGCAGAUGAAUAAAUCAGAGCAGAAAUGAGAAAUCAGAUCCCUGCUUUUUAGGGAGUUUUCAGGUCCAUUCUCA
rnacentral:lncRNA from 10 species